rnacentral:rRNA from 1 species
ACUCAAAUGAAUUGACGGGGACCUGCACAAGCGGUGGAGCGUGUGAUUUAAUUCGACACUAAGCGAAGAACCUUACCCAGGCUUGACAUCUCUGGAAGGCUCUGGAAACAGAGCUGUGCCGCAAGGAACCAGAUGACAGGUGCUGCACGGUUGUCGUCAGCUCGUGCUGUGAAGUGUCCCGUUCAGUCGGUUAACGAGCGCAACCCCUACUCUGUGUUGUAUUUCUCACAGAGAACUGCCCCGGUUAACGGGGAGGAAGGUGGGGAUUACGUCAAAUCAGCGUGGCUCUUACGCCUGGGGCGAUACACGCGCUACAAUGGGAAGUAACAAUGGGUUGCCAAACCGCGAGGUGGAGCUAAUCCCAACAAACCUUCCCCCAGUUCGGAUUGGAGGCUGCAACUCGCCUCCAUGAAGUCGGAAUCGCUAGUAACGGCCGGUCAGCCAUACGGCCGUGAAUACGUUCUCGGGUCUUGUACACACCGCCCGU